GUGUACACGCAUGUGUGCAUAUAUAUAUUUAUAUGUGUGCGUUUAUUUUUUAAUGGUAACAUCAGUUGAAAUUCUGACCCAACCACAGUGAUUUCUUUUAGGUCCCUAGACUUGGGACCCACACUUUUUGCUCUGUUGAGGUAGGAAGAUGUCUAGAUCUAUUAGGACUCAAAAUUCAACAUCCAAGAGAAUGGUCAAAGCUCAAAACACUAACCAGCUUCUCAUAUUACCGAGGACUGAAAUGGCAGCACCAAGAUUGCACGUCCUCCACAUGCUCUGGGCAGGCCGAGGUGGGUGCUGACCCAGGAAACGCUCUGACCCUCCAGGCCCAGCCUCAUUCCUGGGCCCACCAAGGCAGCCCUGGUGAUUGACAGGCAUAGGGGGUGCCGCCAGGUUGCCUUCACCUGCUGCAACUCCUUUUGUUUCCUGUGGGCCACUUUUCAAAUGGAGUUUUCAACACGCAGGAAGCCUCCUCUUGGCUGGCAAGAAUGCAAGGAGUUUCCAUGUUUAUUGCGUUUCCGCUCCUAAAAGCCCUGCCCUUUGGAGCUUCGCCCCUGUAUUGCUGCCCAGGUCUUACACAAACCUGCCGUGUGCCAACGCCAAGUCACUCCCCGCCUGCUCCGCACACACACCUCUCAGCCCUGGCCCUGGUGUCCUCUUACCUGUGACCUCCACUUUAUUUCCCAUAUUUAUAACCACAGGUUCUUACAGAAAUUUCCCCUGACUGCCAAGAUUCAUUCAACACUGCAGGGUAGAUAACAUGAUAGUCUGAGGACAUUGUCACGAUGUGCUGCCAGAAAUCUGCACCUGGAGGAAAGGAAAAUCCUGAGAAAUAGACAAAUGUAUCUUACAGAUCACUCAGUCUGGGAGAAGCCGGAUGCUGUGGUGUGAGGACACUCAGGCAGCCCAUGGAGAGAUCCACUGACACUUUGGCCAACAGCCAGCACCACCUCACGAGCCACGAGAGAAAAUGGGGCGUCAGCGGGGAUUGGUAAAUCUCCUAAGGCGACUCCAAGUCUGCACUCUCCCCCCACCCACGUGCUCUCCGGGUGAUUCUGACGCCUGCUGAAGUUCAAGACCACUAGGCAUUAUCAUCCACCAGCAAGAGUGAGGAGAAAAACAGGGUUUCCACCACGGUGCAGCAGGAUGAGGACACUGUCUCUUCUAGUGGCAGGUAAUCGUCAUCCCUUCUUAUCCGCUGUCCUUGGUGGAAGAGAGUGGCUUGUUGGUGUCGGCCCCCUAGUUAGUGCUAUUUGAAACAGUGUCAAGCAGCAAAACCCUUGGAUCAGCCUAGAAUGUCAGCCCCAGCUGCGUCCCUCUCAGCCAGGCAGACUCCAAGACCCCUGUGGGGCACCAGACACGUUCACCACCUCCUAAAUAAUGACUUGCUGAACACAUCUGCUCAACACUGCAGGACGGGGAAGUGACAGGGACCCUGAGACCAAAAGGGAAGAUGCAGACAACGGCCGCUUUGAUUUACGACAGCGACCCUUCCCCGAAGAGUGCUUCUUGUCUGUCGUCUUCAUGUUCACGUCAUUCUGAUGUCCCCCGUUUGGUAAGAAGUCUCUCGGAUGGAAACUGCCAGGGCUUACACAAGGACACAGAUGCUAGCAGGCGCUGAUUCUUCUGUUUGUUUAGCUGCAGGAACCCCGGCACCCAGAGCAGUAACAGGCACACGUGGGCCCUGUGCUAACACAGGAGUGAAUAACCCUGGGAUGGAUGUCUGUGUGCCUUCCUGGAAGGCUUGGCUACACAUGCCUGUGUCACAGGAGGCGUUUAAUGACUGGCAUGUUUCCCUAUUUCGCAGUGGUGAAGACUGAGCCACCUGACCUCAGCAAGGCAGGCCAGUGGCUACGGGGACUCCAAGGGUCUGAAUCCUGGCUCAUCUACUCCCCAGCUGUGUGACUUCGGAUAAUUCACUUAACUCCUCCGUGCCUCAGUUUCCUGAUCUGUAGAUGGGGAUGACAGCUUUUUUUAAUUGGGGCUAACUUGGGACUCUGCUUUUCAGAAGGCUCAGCCCCCACUGUGUAAAUGAGGGGAUGUGGGCCUUGUAUUGCACAAGGUGUCCCAAGA